rnacentral:snRNA from 1 species
CUUUUUCGGGCAUUUUCGU